rnacentral:snRNA from 1 species
AUCGCUUCUCGGCCUUUGGCUAAGAUCAAGUGUAGUAUCUGUUCUUAUCAGUUUAAUAUCUGAUACGUCCCCCAUCGGGGGACUAUACAUAUUAAAUGGAUUUUUCGAACAGGGAGUCGGAAGCGGGGCUUGCUCCGUCCGCUCCACGCAUCGCUCGGUAUUGCAGUACCUCCGAGAACGGUGCACCCUCU